UACGUAGGGUGCAAGCGUUAAUCGGAAUUACUGGGCGUAAAGAGCUCGUAGGCGGCUUAGUAAGUCGGGUGUGAAACCUCCAGGCUCAACCUGGAGACGCCACCCGAUACUGCUGUGGCUAGAGUCCGGUAGGGGAGCGUGGAAUUCCUGGUGUAGCGGUGAAAUGCGCAGAUAUCAGGAGGAACACCAGCGGCGAAGGCGGCGCUCUGGGCCGGUACUGACGCUGAGGAGCGAAAGCGUGGGGAGCAAACAGG
rnacentral:rRNA from 1 species